rnacentral:rRNA from 1 species
AUACGUAGGGUGCGAGCGUUAAUCGGAAUUACUGGGCGUAAAGCGUGCGCAGGCGGUUUUGUAGGACAGUGGUGAAAUCCCCGGGCUCAACCUGGGAACUGGCAUUGUGACUGCAAGGCCGGAGUGCGGCAGAGGGGGAUGGACUUCCGCGUGUAGCAGGGACAUGCGUAGAUAUGCGGAGGAACACCGAUGGCGAAGGCAAUCCCCUGGGCCUGUACUGACGCUCAUGCACGAAAGCGUGGGGAGCAAACAGGAUUAGAUACCCUGGUAGUCCACGCCCUAAACGAUGUCAACUGGUUGUUGGGUCUUCAUUGACUCAGUAACGAAGCUAACGCGUGAAGUUGACCGCCUGGGGAGUACGGCCGCAAGGUUGAAACUCAAAUGAAUUGGCGGGG